rnacentral:lncRNA from 1 species
AAGGGAGUCGCCCCUGGUCCUUUUGCUACUUAGUAAAUCUUGUUGCUGCUCAGUCAUUGGGUCUGCACUGCCUUUAUGAGCUGUAACACUCACUGUGAGAGUCUGUAGUUUCACUCCCGAGGCCAGUGAGACCCUGAACCCACCAGAAGGAAGAAACUCCAAACACGUCCGAACAUCAGAAGGAAGGAACAAACUCCGGACAUGCCUCACUGCAAGGGUCACCGGCUUCAUUCUUGAAGUCAGUGAGACCAAGAACCCACCAAUUCUGGACACAAUAUAAUCCUCAUUCUUCCUCCUUGAAUAUGCAGUUUACUGUGGCACACACAUUCCCACUGCAAUGCUCUAUUCCUGAAUAAAUAUCUUUUUCUUUUAGAGAGCCUUUCUCUGUUAUUUAGGUUGACAGUUUUUAACUGUCUUUUAGUAUAUCUUUGAAAUUUUGGUUGAAAGCUGGACAUGAUGUAUAUGAUAGUAGGACCUGAAGUAAAUCGGCCUUAUUGUGUGAGGUUUUAUGUUAAUCUGACUAGUAGCUGGGCCGUGUUUAAUGUUUCCUAUAGCUGUAGGUGCCAGAAACUUUAGUUUCCUCUAGUUUCAGGUAUUUUUUUUUCUCUUCUGUUUUGACUUUCCCUGAGAACUCUUAUUAUUUUUUUUGAGAUGGAGUUUUGCUCUUGUUGCGCAGGCUGGAGGGCAGUGGCGCCAUCUUGGCUCACUGCAACUUCUGCCUCCCAGGGUCAAGCAGUUCUCCUGCUUUUCCUGAGUAGCUGGGAUUACAGGUCCC